UUUAAGAGCAUUAAAACAAUCCAGAUCUUUAUUUUCUUUCAAAAAAAAACCGAGGAAAAGUGACAUUCAGCUUCACAAACAACAGGAUAGCCCAACGCGUAGGAGGGGCAUGCACACCACUUCGGAUGCUUGCCCUGGCAUCUCUCAGUUGUGUUAUCAUUCAGCUUGCUGGACCUUUGCCUGUGCCAGGCUCGAGAGCGUUGGGAACACGAGGGAGCCACCAGGGGGCAGCACACGGCAAGAAAUCUUGUAUGUCGACCGCAGCCCACCGCCAAACUUCCCUGCUGCUCUGGGUCCUCGUACGUACUUCCGUCGCUCUGACGCUCCCAGAAACCCGGGCAUCGGGAAGGAGCGCAAAUUCCCCCUCUUUUGAGCCUCAGGAAGAAAAUCUGGAGCUGGGUUCACCAGAGCACACUAGAGCGGCCGCUGGAGUCUUUCACCGCGCCGCCAGGGGCGCGGCGCUGGCCCAGAGUGUGCUGGCGCGUGGGCGUCGUCGUCAGUCACACAUCGGUGAUUCUGGAGAGGGCAGUCGGCCUCCCGAAGGAGUAGUCGCGGCCCCAGCAGCCCCCCACCCCGUGGUCUCCAGCGCCUUCCCCUCUCGCCUCAAGGGACAUCCCCGCACCUAUACCCACAGCUGUCACCUGUGCGUGCUGGGAGGCGAGGGGACACAAGCAAGUGUGCUCCCCAGAGUCGUCCAGAAGGAUGCCUGGGUGUCGGAUGCGUCCUCAGGCUGCUCUCCAGCGCUGGCUAAGAAAGCAGUCGGGAUGAUGCUCGCAAACUUUCCUUCGCCGAGGCGUUGAGAAGAAACGUCCCUUCCUAAAGCUCGCGGAGAACCCAGAGUCUGGCGUCCAGAGGAGCCAAGCCUGCGCAGGGGAAGUUCUCUCGAGCCCCGGAGGUGGCCCAAAGGGAGAAGCUUCAAGGCAGGAGAGGUGUCUGCUUCCCAGCACCCCCGCAGUGACUCUGACCUCCGCACGCCCCCUGCACACGUGCCGGCGGCCCAGGGACCAGGUCCAGCUGGGCUAGUUGAGGAAGGCGGCGGCGCUCUGGCAGCCCGAGGGCGCAUGGAGGCGCCGAGGGGGGCGGUGCGGCUCGCCU
rnacentral:lncRNA from 1 species